UACGUAGGUGGAAAGCGUUGUAAGGAUUUACUGGGAGUAAAGGGAGUGUAGGCGGAUACUUAAGUGGGAUGUGAAAUACCUGGGCUUAACUUGGGUGCUGCAUUCCAAACUGGGUGUCUAGAGUGUUGGAGAGGAAAGUGGAAUUCCUAGUGUAGCGGUGAAAUGCGUAGAGAUUAGGAAGAACACCAGUGGCGAAGGCGACUUUCUGGACAAUAACUGACGCUGAGGCUCGAAAGCGUGGGGAGCAAACAGGAUUAGAUACCCUGGUAGUCCACGCCGUAAACGAUGGGUACUAGGUGUAGGAGGUAUCGACUCCUCCUGUGCCGCCGUUAACACAAUAAGUACCCCGCCUGGGGAGUACGGUCGCAAGAUUAAA
rnacentral:rRNA from 1 species